ACAGUCUGAAAAUUACUCCAGCUGUACCUGUCUUCUGGAUUAAGAUAACUGUGCCAACAGAAAACUGGUACAUUUAAGCUUAUUGUCAGCUCACAUAGUUCCAUAGUUGGCACAAUGAAACCCAUGUGCCAACAUUU